UUUGUAUGGCAGUAUUUUAAAAUAGGGUAAGGAACAGUGUGGACAUCUUUAACUUUCAUAUACACACACACACAUGUACACAGUAAAGUUAGCCAAUAAUUUUCACAGGCAAUAAAGCAAGUAUAUGUAUAAGAUUCUUCUUUAAAAACCACUCUAUUUUCCAGUUUUAGAUCUCUCAACAUUGCAGAGAAAUCCUCAGCUGCUGGUUGAGAGGCCUUGGCAUUGACUAGUAAUGUCAGAGGAGAAAGAGUCCUAUAAUUAUGGAGAAGAAAAUUUCUGUUGACAGAAAGAUGAAGAGUAACUCUUCUGCAAGAACAUUAUAAAGAAAGGCACAGAAGAAGAGGAAGCCAGUAUGCUUAAACAAGGUAAAGAAGAUGCUGUGCCAUUUUGGAGGUGGCAGGUCCAGGCCCUGUGUCUUCCCUACACUAGCAGGGCACUGGAAAGAUGACCACAUUUAGAAGAUCAGACAUCUAGGAAGGGAUAGUGACUCCAUCAGUGGUAUGGAAACCAGAUCCCUCUAGGAGUUGGAAACUGAGGAUGUAAAGAAGCUCACAGAUGGGAAACAUUUGACAUUGUGGCACUUGUUUUGCAAAAGUUUUAAAGAACUGAAAUUUUUCAGGAUGCCUGAUUUUAACAGGAAACUGCUUUCCUACAAAUGUAUUUAUCAUGGAAAGUGGUUUCAGAAGGACUUCUGUGAUACUAUUUCAAAGUAUACAUUUCCCCUAAAAUAAGUAACACAGUUUCCCCUAAAAUAAGUAACACAGCCUCUUUCCCAGAGGCUUCCUCCCCCAAAAAAACUCCAUUGUUUUGGGGAAGGACUUUUAAACUGAGGAACUUGUCAUAUGUAGGAGUGUGAUCUUCAACCUACCUCUUUAUAGAGUGAGAACACCAAGGAAUACAUGACUGCCAUUGAGGAGAAUAUCGGAGAAAAUGCAGGGAGCAGGGAGCUGUACAUGUUUUUUUCGUAGCAAGCCUCAUCCGGCAGCAACAGCAGCAAUUCCAGGACCUUCUGGUCCAGAGGCGUGCCAACCUACACAAUAUGCAGUACUGGCUGUCAAUCCAAACCUUGUACUAUCAAAGCCAGGCUCUGAUGAUGACUCAAAAGCAUAUCUAUCUACAUUUGAAUAGGUUACCAUGGCAACCUCUCUGGCCUAAAAAGAGAUGGACCACAUUAGUUACUUAGCAGAACCUUUUUGACAGGCGAAACACAAGCUGCUCACUCCAGAUGAUGGUUUGAUUUAGAAUUAAGUCUGUCUGAGUGCUGCCAUGGUGUUCUCUGAAGUGUUAAUGAUGUAACCCAGAGAGAAGAACUUCUUUUGGGACUUCAGUUUGUGGCCUAGUACCACAGGGGCUGAGCUAUGUGGUGGCUUUCCCUGAGAAACACAAGUUAACAGAACAGUCGACAUCAUCACCUUUUUUCUAUAUUCUGAAGAUCUUCCAAGCUGGGUCUGCUGGCCUAAGAAGGCCACUUUCAAAGAGGAUAUGCAGGAUACCAAGAAUUAUUUGAAUUGCUACUGGCACAACACAUCAUCUAGCCAGAAACAUCUAUUCAAAGCACAAAUACUAAGUCCUGGAAAGGUCAGAAUGCCCAUGACUGGUGUGAAGGAAGCCUGGAGUUGUGACAGAAAUGCACACACUCCAAGACAAAACUGCAUGGCUACACGGGCUUUUUAGGGUUUGGAUCACAGAAUGAAGACUUCCAGAACAUACAGUAAAGAGGCAAAUAGACCCCUCUACUCAGUGUAGGAACAUUGGAAAGGGAAAAACUGGAUAUGUUACCCAUAACUGCACUCCACUAUCAGUUAACUGUGUGGGUGAAACAACAAAAUCAGUAUAUAUAGUUUGAAGCAGGGAUAGAUGGAUCCAAGCUGGUAAGAUACUGAGCAGCUUCCAUAGACUUGGGAAGUAUUUAGCCCUUUAAUUAAGAAAACAUCUUCAUCCCCAAAAUGGUAGAGACUGUCUUACUGAUACAGUGUGUACUCAGAAGGCUGCAAAAAUUACUAUUGACAUAACUAUACUGCUUUAAUUCUAUGAUUGGCAGAACACUGGCUUGAAUAACUAAAAAGAUAUUUUUAAAUACUAGUUAUGUGAGUAGACAUUCCUAGCUCAGGAGUUACAAAGUCCCAGUAAUCUUCCACAGGAAGUGAGGAAGGUUCCGAAAGUACCUAUUGCUUCUAACAUUUUGGAACCCAGGUAGAUAAAUCUGGCAUCAUAUACAGACUCGUAGACUAUGCCCACAAUCAUCAGCAAACAAAACAACAAAUAAAUGAGCAGACCUGGCCACUGUGGAUGCAAGAAGUGCCAUGUUUAGCACACCAGUAGUCCAUCCUUUCACUACCAGAAGAAAAGUUUAAAAAACAGUUAAAACCCAAACAGACCUAACAAGUGAUUCCUUUCUAAUCUUUACUGGGUAGAAGCCUCAAAGGAUGAAACUAAUACUAUGUAAUUUUCAGCUUUCCCCUCUAAUGUAUUGAUCUGUCUACUUCUUUGAUAAAAGAGAAGUAGGAACACAAGUAUUUCUUUCUGACUUUACAUUUAUCUGUAUCAUUCUUCCCUUAGAUGACAAAGUGUGUGCUUUUUCCCCCAAUAAUAAUAAUAGCCAUCAGUCUGAGAAACCUGUAAUUUCUACAGUAUACUUUCUGAGCAGUCCUGCACCUUGAGGAACUCUUGAAUUAUUUAAGUUCCAAUUAGAACCACUUCUGCACUGGUCCUAAGUCUACUUUUUAAGAGCACAGAUGAAAAAAAAAAAAGAGGAAAACAGUAGGAAUAUGUUUCUCAGCACAAUCACAGUGAAAGACAGGAGAGGCAGAAGAGCCAACUGAGGUUGUCUGUAAGGGAAAUUUAUGUUCAAUUAAGAUACUGUAAUUUAAUGUUUUGAAUGUUGUGUAUCAGGUCACUUUGUACCUACUGAACUAGGAAAACUUUUAUACUGAUUUUUGUUUCUUUUACAUCUGUUCUGUUUCUCUA